GGGGUCGGGCUGCGAGGCAGGAAAGGGCGAGACGUGGUGGCUGCUGCUGCUGCCGGCCCUUAGAGCCGGGCUGGCUGACUGCAGAGUUUUAGGAGAGAGAGCGUAGCUGUUUCUUGGGGUAGCAGAAACGCAGUUUGUAGCUCUUAGCAUGCGAAGGGGUCAGUGAUGUGCAAGCAGGAGUGCGGCUGUGCGGACGUGCUCCGUCGCUUUCCUCGCGUGCUGGUCCUUCAUCGACUGUGUUUCUGCUCUUUGCAGCUUUUCCUCGCUCAGGUGUGAGCGAGCGCGUUCUGUCGCGUUUAUCUCCUAGCUCUGAGGCAACGAGGUGCCCCGCUCCUGCUUCAGGCCUGUGUUGUAUCUAUUUCCAGGAGAAAAUAUGAUGUUCAGAGCAGCAAGUCAGAGAAGAAUUCAGCUUUUUCGAAGACUCCCCUUUCAGAAGUAGGACUAAUUCUGAAAGAGCCUGACGUACCUGCAAGUGUGUGCAGACUAAGAACUGACAGAAGUUGCUGGGUCCAGUUGCAUUUCCUUGGUCUUAUCUCAGUGCAUAACCACCUCAGCCUUGGGAGUGAUUUCUUUCCGUGAGUGUUGUCAGCUAUAAAAUUCACCGCUGACCUACCUGCAGAGCUCUGCCUGAAAACAAUUAAACAUCAGAACUGUGUUCGUUCAAUGAACUUGGCCUCUCAGAGGCUUGACCUUUGAUUGACUUCCCAGUCUGCUUUGCACUCGAUGGAAAUUUCUCUGAUGGAACAUCAUUAAGAAUGCAAUUUCCUUUCCCUCUGAAAUAUUGGUUAUGUUGGCAAGAGCCCUCUUACAAAGCUUAUUCAUACAUGCAAAAACCAACCAAGCAAAAAAACCAACAACAAAAAGCCAGGGGCAAACCCAACAAAACAGUUUGUUUAAGAAGAAACACUGAUAUUGCUUGUUGCACUACAGUAUUCAUUCUGUAUACUGCAGUGAUAAAAUGAAAUGACCUCUGCAUGAAGUGAAUUUGCUGGUGUAUCUCCUAUGAUUAGUGGGGCUUUUAGCAGAAACUUUAUUUUAAAGUCAUUCCGAAGUGUUGACAUUUACACCUAUUACCUCCCAGUUUCACCACAUCCAACUGCUUUAAAUAGAACAGAAGAUUAAUAAUCUUCUUGCAUUUUCAACAAACUUUUUUCUGGCCAGCAUUUUACUACUUGUGUUAACAGCGUACUGUAAAAGUUACUUUGAUAUUUCAUAAUUCUUUAUGUUGUAAAAAUUGACUUUUAACUGAAACUACUGUAUAACUGUUUUGUUCCUUGAAGUGUGGUCAGCAGGAUCCUAUUGCACUGUAACACGAGAUUGUUUUUCAUGUAAAAAUAUUAAGACAAAUGGAUUUUAUACAGUGUAUUGUUCAACUUUCUAUUAAAUGGAGUAAUCAAGUAGGGUAAGGCAGGUUUUCAAAAUCAUGGUAUUUUCUCUCAUCAGAAUAGGUGUUUGUUUUAAAUAAGCCAUUAAUAAUGUAGUUAAAGCGCUGAUUUAAAUAUUCUAUGUUUGAUUUGCUUUUCAUCGUCUACAUUUAUCUAGGAGAGAGACUGAUGAAAAAGCUGAUAAAGCUGUUUAUUGUGAAGGAAUUAAUGCUGCUAUUACCUUGGAUCUUCUGCUACUCAGUGUCUGUCCUCCAUUUUACUGGACCUGACCUUUCAAGCUCUGGAAUACAAUGGUUUAUUAGUUAAUUGAUAACUCACGUAAUGUGGGAGGACUCGAAUGAAUUUCAAAUACUUCCAAAGUCUUUUGGUGCAUCCCCAUGUGCCUUUCUGUGGUGACACUGUUACAUCCUUCCUCUAAGAGUGCAGAUACUUGCAGUGCCUGUAUGUACACUGAAUUUGCCCAUAAUUACGACUCCAUGCAAGCAUCCUGCUGCUUGGCAGUGUGUUUCAGCAGUGCGAAGACGUGCUUUUCCUCUUCAAUCCAGAGUGGGAGGCUUGAGAAUCAGGGACAGGAAACUUGAAAAUAUGGUGGCAUGGUAGAAAAUGCAGUCUAGAAAUAUGAAUAGUUAGAGAAAUAAAUUAAAAAAAAAAUUACGUGAGAUGGGAGAAUGGCAUCAACACACAUUUUUAUAACCUAUUCUUUGAACUCCCUUUUUGUUACGUGUAUGAGCUGGGGAAGAAGUGCAGUGAGAAUCACUGCUACAGCAUAAAGAAGCUUGACGUGUGCAUUCUGCAGCAUGCUGUGACUGGCCACUAAUUCUGCACUGUCCAUUCCCCAGCCUUCUGUCAUUGAUGUAAGGGUAGAGCAAAGUGCUCUGUUUGCUGAAAUGUUUUUUUAGGAUUAAAAUUUCUCCUUAGGUGCAAAAUGGUAUGACUUUGCAGGUUUGCCCAUUUGUUCCUCACUUGCACUUUUUGCAUCGUUCUCUUUGCUUGAGUAAAGUAUAAAGUAUAGCAAUGCACUUCACCUUCUUACUUCUGAGAACUGACACAAAGCAGAAAUUUGCAAAUUAUUUCCCUUCCCUUUCCUGUACUUCCAUACACAUUUCAGAGCCGAAGCUUUGGCUUUCAGAAAUUUUGGGAUGUUUGACUUUUUUCCCUGGAAAUUAAAGGUUCAUUAUAUGUCCCAUGAGAAAUUCCUUGGAGACGCUGCAAGAGGGGAAGGUUUUCAUGUGACUACAAUCAUAUCUCUUCCACAGCUGAGCAGCCCAGAAGUCUAGAAUACUUGUUUUUAUCUCUUAAGUAGUUAUCAGCUGAAGAGGAAAAUAAACUUUUGUUCCACGAUAGCUUUUCAGACUUUAAUUGUAUUUCAGAAACACAUCGAUUGGAAUUCUUUUGCAAGAGUCUUAAACUUAGUAUAUUUAAAAUCUAAAUGUAAACUAACACUUCAUAGAUGGAAAUUGUGAAAGGGUUUUUUGUUACUUUCUCCUUUUCCCUGCUUUGAAAUUUUACCUCAAGGUCAGGUUAGAAGGCUAUAUGUGGAUAGCAGUAGGUUGCUGGAAUUCCUUGUAAAUUUAAAACAGAGAGCCUGCAGUUAAGUGCAGUUAAGUGUUGUUUGCAGACAGCAGUACUGAUAUCAUUUUCCAAAAGCUUCUCAUAAACAGAAUGUGCCAUUCUAAUGCUUCAGACCAAGGAAGGAGAAAGAACAGAAAUUUGCCAGGAAGAGAAAAUAGCUCCUUGCAUUGUAAGUCAGCAUCUUUCAGAUGUUGACAGUCCCUCUUCUAUCCUUGAUGUACAGAGAGACCAACUGAUACUAACUGCA